AUGACAACCAUUCUUUGCAUGUUGUGGACCUGUGUAUGUUGAAUUAUAUUAAUUAAUUUGUAUAAUCAAUUGACUUGACAACUUUGCACAAAGAUCUAAUUUAUCUGUGAAUAUCAAUGGAAUUGUUCAUAGCUAUUAUAGGUAUAUCUACACGUUCUUGUAUAUAAACUAAAAGGGGACAAUGACAUGGUCUUAGACUCUAUGCUGUAAUCAAGCUUAGUAUGUGUGAUGUGGAGUGUCAAAGUGCCAGGUAUCAACCAUCACACCAAUCGUCAAGACAGUUCAGAAGGCCAUAGAAACAACCGUAGAAGACAUCGGGUCUAGCUAAACAAUUUGUAGCCUGUUGUGCGGUGCAUGUUUCAAAUAGAGCAGUUUUAUGCAUGUUGACAUUGUUAAUUGGUUA